CGCAGCCUGAUCCAGCAAUGCCGCGUGAGUGAAGAAGGCCUUCGGGUUGUAAAGCUCUUUUGUCAGGGAAGAAACGGUAGUCUCUAAUACAGAUUGCUAAUGACGGUACCUGAAGAAUAAGCACCGGCUAACUACGUGCCAGCAGCCGCGGUAAUACGUAGGGUGCAAGCGUUAAUCGGAAUUACUGGGCGUAAAGCGUGCGCAGGCGGUUAUAUAAGUCAGAUGUGAAAUCCCCGGGCUCAACCUGGGAACUGCAUUUGAGACUGUAUGGCUAGAGUGUGUCAGAGGGGGGUAGAAUUCCACGUGUAGCAGUGAAAUGCGUAGAUAUGUGGAGGAAUACCGAUGGCGAAGGCAGCCCCCUGGGAUAACACUGACGCUCAUGCACGAAAGCGUGGGGAGCAAACAGGAUUAGAUACCCUGGUAGUCCACGCCCUAAACGAUGUCUACUAGUUGUCGGGACUUAAUUGUCUUGGUAACGCAGCUAACGCGUGAAGUAGACCGCCUGGGGAGUACGGUCGCAAGAUUAAAACUCAAAGGAAUUGACGGGGACCCGCACAAGCGGUGGAUGAUGUGGAUUAAUUCGAUGCAACGCGAAAAACCUUACCUACCCUUGACAUGGUUGGAAUCCCGAAGAGA
rnacentral:rRNA from 1 species